UCAAACUUGGUCAUUUAGAGGAAGUAAAAGUCGUAACAAGGUAACCGUAGGUGAACCUGCGGUUGGAUCAUUAGGGGAAGACAUGAGGGGGGGUGGGGUGGUCACACACCACCUUCCCCCUCGCGCUGUUAAAACGCGCACGCUCUUUUGUUGAACAGCUUUUUUGUCUCUUUGGUCCACCGGUUGGUGACCAAACGGUUUGUUUGCAAGCAAACAAUAAAAAAACGUUCCUUGCUCCACUGCAACUGAACAACAAAACAAAAAAAAAUCAACUUUAGACAACGGAUCUCUAGGCUCUCGCAUCGAUGAAGAACGCAGC
rnacentral:misc_RNA from 1 species